GUCCCGCCUCCUCCCGCAUCGGCUUCGGUGCCUCCGGCUGCCUCCAUGGUGUUUGCACCCCAGGCAGCCCCCUCGAUGGGAUCGUCUUCGCCGCCGCCGGUUCACUUCGGUCAUCUCAUCACCAUCAAGCUCUCCGCCGACAACUACAUCUUCUGGCGUGCGCAGGUUCUCCCGCUCUUGGGGAGUCACUACCUGCUAGGCUACGUCGACGGAUCGCUUCCCUGCCCACCCGCACUGGUAGACAGCGUGCACGGUCCGGUCUACAAUCCGGCCCAUCGCGUCUGGACGGGGCAGGACCAGGCGAACCUCUCCUCCAUCCAGGGGUCGCUCUCGCCGGCAGUUGCCGGACUUGUUGUCUUCGCGAAGACGUCUCAUGAGGCCUGGACCAUCCUUGAGCGAACCUUUGCAGCGCAGUCCCAGGCUCGUGUCUCUGCACUCCGUCGUCAGCUUGGAGAGUGUCAG
rnacentral:rRNA from 1 species